GAUGAACGCUAGCUACAGGCUUAACACAUGCAAGUCGAGGGACCGGCGCACGGGUGAGUAACACGUAUCCAACCUGCCCUUUACUCGGGGAUAGCCUUUCGAAAGAAAGAUUAAUACCCGAUAUAAAGGAUGGGGAUGCGUUCCAUUAGGUUGUUGGUGAGGUAACGGCCCACCAAGCCUUCGAUGGAUAGGGGUUCUGUGAGGAAGGUCACCCACAUUGGAACUGGGACACGGUCCAAACUCCUACGAGAGGCAGCAGUGAGGAAUAUUGGUCAAUGGGCGGUAGCCUGAACCGGCCAAGUAGCGUGAAGGAUGAAGGGUUAUGGGUCGUAAACUUCUUUUAUAUAAGAAUAUGUAUUAUAUGAAUAAGGAACGGCUAACUCCGUGCCAGCCGCCGCGGUAAUAC
rnacentral:rRNA from 1 species